GCUAAGCUCGUAGUUGGAUUUGUGGUGACUCUCGGGACCCAAUUUUUUGUGCUCCUGUGAGACACCAUCCUUGGGUGAAACCUGUGUGGCAUUAGGUUGUCGUGCAGGGGAUGCCCAUCGUUUACUGUGAAAAAAUUAGAGUGUUCAAAGCAGGCUUAUGCCGAUGAAUAUAUUAGCAUGGAAUAAUGAGAUAGGACCUUGGUACUAUUUUGUUGGUUUGCGCACCAAGGUAAUGAUUAAUAGGGACAGUUGGGGGUAUUCGUAUUCCAUUGUCAGAGGUGAAAUUCUUGGAUUUCUGGAAGACGAACUACUGCGAAAGCAUUUACCAAGGAUGUUUUCAUUAAUCAAGAACGAAAGUUAGGGGAUCGAAGAUGAUUAGAUACAUCGUAGUCAUGAAGGAGGGUUGUUCGGGGGGGAACGUACUGGGGCGUGAGAGGUGAAAUUCUUAGACCGCCCCAAGACGAACUACAGCGAAGGCAUUCUCCAAGGAUACCUUCCUCAAUCAAGAACCAAAGUGUGGAGAUCGAAGAUGAUUAGAUACCAUUCGUAGUCA
rnacentral:rRNA from 1 species